UCAGUGGUGCAAAAGUGCUUAUAGUGCAGGUAGUAUUUCAUCACCUACUGCAGUUUUUGCACUUCAGCAUCACUGU